rnacentral:lncRNA from 1 species
UCGAACUCGGUGUCGCUGACUUUGAAAAUUUGGCCUUUCUUGACGAAAUCUCCCGUUUUUGGCUAAGGAAGGCUUUCGUCGAGAGGUUUCUUCUCUCGUAUGCUGAUGAUUUGACGCUGAAAUGAUCCAACGCCGUCGGCGAUGCAGAGCCAAGAUGAAAAAACAAAGGUUGCGCCUGCCUCGAAGGUGAAAACAAGCUUGAUA